CAUUUUAAAAACAAUUCCAAUUAAUUCGCGGCAAAUAGAUUCAAUGCCCUAGACUACUUUUGUCAUCAGUAUCACCAUCCCCAACUCCAAAAAUCCGAUAGAAUCACCAUUUCGUCGAGCACAAGUCUCAGAGUCUCGAAUGGCGAUUUCGAUUUGAGACGUUAGGGUUCCUCUUUGAUCCUCCAGUGCAAAUACAAUGUUCGGAGCUCAACCGUCCUCCUCCGCCUUCGGCACUCCACAAUCAACUCCGGCCUUCGGCACUCCGCAAUCAACUCCGGCAUUUGGCACGCCGGCGUCCACUCCUGCCUUCGGAACUCCAUCGGCGUCUCCUGCAUUUGGCAACCUUUCCUCAACUCCUGCCUUCGGAACUCCAUCUACGUCGUCGUUUGCUACCGGCUUUGGCUCAUCGCUUUUCUCCACUCCAUUCUCUUCUCAGCCUUCACAACCGCAGCAGCAGUUGCAGCAAUCGCCGCUAUUUCCGCAACCAGCCGCCACUGGGUUCGGUUUCCAGACUCCGUUUGCUGCGCCUCAGUCCACUCCAUUUCCAAAUGCUCAACUGACUACUCAGAUGGCCCCGGUCGCACCGCUUCCUUUCUCCCUCGCAGAUCGAGAUAUUCAAGCAAUUGUUGAGGCUUACAAGGACGACGCAGGAAACCCUAAGUAUGCUUUCAAGCAUUUGUUGUUCAGUGUAACUGAUCCUCAAUAUAGGGUGAAGCCUGCUGGUGUAUCGGAUAUAAUGUGGGCUGAGGCAAUGGCAAAGCUUGAAGGCAUGGAAAGUGCUGAUAGAGAGCGAUUGUGGCCGCAGCUUGUUCAAGGUUUUAAGGAUUUGUCUCAGCGCUUGAAGAUUCAAGAUGAAGUCAUUCUCUCUGAUUCUGAUAGACUUCGGAUGACCCAAAGCAAUGUCAAAAUGCUUCAAAGGCAUUUUCUAGCCGAUACUCUACCUUGGGUUCAAAGAUUGAAACAGAAGGAGCAAGGUCUUCAAAGGCGUCUGUUGAGAGUUAUGAGAAUUGUGGAAGCGCUAGAAAGUAAAGGUUGCCGAGUGCCUGUAAUGAAAGGAGAGGCUGAAUUGGCAGAGAAGUUAGCUUUGAUAACGAGGCAGUUGAAAGGAUCUGGAGCAGAACUUUCAAGGAGGGUGCAAAAUUUGCUUACAAUUACUCGUGGUCAAGCAAAUGGCUCCAGUGCUGGUAACUCCAUCUAUCUUCAAGGAUCAGCAAAAAUACACGAGCAGAGUCUUGCUGAUAUGCAGGAGGUUUUGCAGCAACAGACUGAGGCCAUUGCUAGACUUGGAAAUGUUUUAAAGCGGGAUGUUAGAGACAUGGAAAUCAUAAUGGCUGAAGACAGAGAAAUGACAGAUGAUGCGAGCUAAAUGAAAUUGAGUUCACAUUUCUAGCCAUUGUUCUGUUUGUUAUUAGAUAUACUUGGCUUGAUUUUUCCAAAUGGAAAAAUUAAUAUUCGUUUUCAAAACUUUUAUGUACUGCUCAAGGUGCUAGCCGGGAUCUCUUUUGAGAGACGUGGGUUAGUACUUGGUUAAGGUCAACUUUUAACUGCUUAAUACCUAUACAAUUUUGAUUUGAUGCAGUGUUAAAGGCUAAUAAGGCAGCAUGAACAGUUGCUAUGUUGGUCUCUUAACGUAGCCAGCAUCAUCAGAGAAAGGCCUUGGACUCAUCUUUUCCUCGUCAGGUGAAUGAGAUAGAAGUUCAUAUGGCGUUAAAAGAUUGAAUUGCAAAUCACUCAAGAUUUCAUAUGAUGGUCGUCUUCAUGUUCCUUUGGAUUAGUUUUGCCUUGUUGGUGUUGUCGUUUUGACGAGUACAUCUUCGAUUAGUGUUAGCAACAUUGAGUUGUGUUGUCUGCUGAAUAAUAUUUUCUAUAUUUACUAAGUUUUGGUCACAUAUUGAGUUCAGCUCUGGUAAAUUGUGUAUUGGUGUA